UAGGGCAGCUGAAUUGGUAGAGCAGGAGAUUCUUAAUCUCGGGGUUGUGGGUUUGAGCCCCACAUCGGGCAAAA
rnacentral:tRNA from 1 species